GGUGGGGUCGCAUAGCGGACUAGUGCAGCGGUCUUGAAAACCGCCAGGGCAGCAAUGCCCUCGUGGGUUCGAAUCCCACCCCCACCG
rnacentral:tRNA from 1 species